rnacentral:rRNA from 1 species
UACGGAGGGGGCCAGCGUUGUUCGGAAUCAUUGGGCGUAAAGGGCGCGUAGGCGGCCAUGCGUGUCUUCCGUGAAAUCCCUCGGCUUAACUGAGGACGUGCGGAAGAAACUGCAAGGCUCGAGUCCGGGAGAGGGGGGUGGAAUUCCCAGUGUAGCGGUGAAAUGCGUAGAUAUUGGGAGGAACACCGGUGGCGAAGGCGGCCCCCUGGACCGGUACUGACGCUGAGGCGCGAAAGCGUGGGUAGCAAACGGG